GUCUACGGUCAUACUAUCCUGAAGGUGCCUGAUCUCGUCGGACCUCAUGAAGCUAAGCAGGGUUGGGCCUGGUUAAUACGUGGAUG
ensembl:rRNA 5S_rRNA 5S ribosomal RNA